CUGUUAUUUGCCCUGCUGUAGUUCCAGGAUGAAUCUGCUGAGCCCUGCUCUUUCCUCCCCAUAGGAAGAAGGGCCCACAAUCAUUCAGAAGACACAUGAGCUCAUUUGGCUACCCCUCGAUGGUAGCAAUACAAGGAUCUGUGAUGCUUAUGAGACUACAGGUGUGGAUAUGGAGAAAUUUGUUAUGUGAAGAUAAGCUGCACAUGCCAUUCACUGUUGGCAAAUGUAAAGUAAUGAGCUUAACCCUUAACUCUCGGCUGUGCUAUGUAAUAAUAAUGGAACUGCUCAGACAGCUCAGACAGUGCUUGAGGCCCUGCCAAACCACAUGGAGUGAUGCCAUAAUCAAAUUCGCAAUGUCUUAUCUUCCUCAGAUAAAGUUAUCAUCAAAGGAGUGCUGGCAUGAACAAAGAAAAGAUUCAGGGCACAGACCUACUCUAAUGUAUUGAGCUGUGACACAAAUUGGGCUGUCCUUGUUUGCCUUUCUUCUCUGUUUCUUUUUCCAAUUGGUCUGCCAAAGCAACACUGCUAGUUUGGUUUCACACAUCUAUUUGAGACAACAGACCUUUAAAACAAAUAAAUCUAGAAAGGGUUAAAAUUCA
ensembl:lncRNA